GACGAACGCUGGCGGCGUGCUUAACACAUGCAAGUCGAACGGUGAACCGCCUUCGGGCGGGGAUCAGUGGCGAACGGGUGAGUAACACGUGGGCAACCUGCCCCCGGCUCCGGGAUAACCCCAAGAAAUUGGGGCUAAUACCGGAUAUAACCGCUGACCGCAUGGUCCGGUGGUGGAAAGGUUUUUCCGGCUGGGGAUGGGCCCGCGGCCUAUCAGCUUGUUGGUGGGGUAGUGGCCUACCAAGGCGACGACGGGUAGCCGGCCUGAGAGGGGGGCCGGCCACACUGGGACUGAGACACGGCCCAGACUCCUACGGGAGGCAGCAGGGGGGAAUAUUGCGCAAUGGGCGAAAGCCUGACGCAGCGACGCCGCGUGGGGGAUGACGGCCUUCGGGUUGUAAACCUCUUUCAGCUCCGACGAAGCCGCAAGGUGACGGUAGGAGCAGAAGAAGCACCGGCCAACUACGUGCCAGCCGCCGCGGUAACAC
rnacentral:rRNA from 1 species